rnacentral:misc_RNA from 1 species
AACAUCGCGCACCUGCGGGAACCUGCGGAGGGAUCAUUACAGAGUUGCAAAACUCCCUAAACCAUUGUGAACGUUACCUAAACCGUUGCUUCGGCGGGCGGCCCGGGUCCUUCCCGGCGCCCCUCGGCCCUCGCGGGCGCCCGCCGGAGGUAAACCAAACUAUUGCAUUGCAUGGCCUCUCUGAGUCUUCUGUACUGAAUAAGUCAAAACUUUCAACAAUGGAUCUCAGAUCGGAAGAGC